GGGAUUUAUUCACGGAGAAGAAAAAUUGGCUAUAUUUUAAUUUCGUUUCCCACUAAAUUUCACCCUGCUUUGAUAUGAUUUCUACUAGUUUUUAAACAAACCGACUCGUUACUCACCACCCGAAAAUACAUUGUACCACCGCAGAACAACUUGGAGAUAAAUUUACCCCCAAUACUGUCGUCAUCCACAAAUUUGGGAAUAAGGAGGCCGGAAAAAUAUCCAAGUUUGAAGAUGAACCAUUUAUACGACCAAUCUCAACACCGGAACUACCAUUUUAUGGAAGACGCGACGAAUUGGGGAAAUUGGAGGAAUCCUUCUCAAAUUGCGAGCUUCAAUCGCAAUACGUCUAUAUAACUGGACCUCCCGCAAUUGGCAAGUCGGAAUUAAUUUGUAAAUUCAUUAAAUCUAAAUGUAACACUAAUUUUUCUUGGAUUGAAUGAGAAAAUGGGGUAUUUUCUUGGUAUCAAUUAUACUAUAGUUUAAUUCGUCACAACUCAAGAAUUACCUCCACCCAUUGAACCGUUAAAACUGAGUCGAAACGAAUUGUGAGUGAAAUUACUAGAGAAAAGUAUUGGGUUUGUAUUUGAGACAAUUUGUCACGUCGAACUAGAGAUUUUGAACAGUUUCUUUACGAAUUUCACAACUUUAGCAAAAUUUUUAUCGUGUUAACUAGUCGAAGUAGUAAUUUGCUUAGUAAAUACGCGAGGAAUAUGAGACACAUAAAUUUAGCGGUUGUAGGUCGAAUUGCAUAAUUUUUUAGGGAUAAUGCAAUAUGGUAUAAUUUUUUUUGGCAUAAAACAAAUUGGUAUAAUGGUAUAUAAGGGAUAAUUAAAAAAGGGAUAAUUAUACGAAAAUCAAAAUUAAAUUUUAAAUUAACUUUUAAACUUAAUUCUUCACAAUUUUAAUUUCCAAUACCCUUGAGAUAGUCGAAAGUGUCAAGAUCAGUGUUGUAUGAUUCUAAGUACAAUCAAGAGGAGUCGCUUAUCCAGGUCCCUGUGAAUUUUACGCUGUGGCUCGACUUGCCCAGAUGUCAAUUUUUCGAUUUCCAAAUUCCAAUGGCUUUGGUCAUUUUUUAAAAUUUCAAUGGCUUUCCGCAUUGUAUUUAUGCGUAAAUGCCAACCCAGCAUUGUUGGUACGAGGGACUUUGUCGUGAUAUCUAGAGUAUCAGUUCAUCGUUCAUGGGGACAAAGGCCAAUUCAAUCUGACCUUUCAGGGUUAGGGAAAUGUAGGUAGAGAAUGUGAUACCGUUGUUUUAAAUUUUCCUUUGCCUUCGUACAAAAUUAAUCGCCCUUUGAAUCCUCUAUUUCUGUCCGUGCAAAUAUGUAAUUCCUGCGGUUGUUUUUUUGGUACAAGUAGCGUUUUCAGUGGACAUGGUUGUGACUGGAGUGCAAUUCGAGUGAAUGUAGAAUGCAAGGAAAGAAGGAAUGGAAUGAAUUAUGGUCCCUUUAAAGCUUAAAAUAUAAUUAUCCCUAAUAGAAUUAUCCCUGAGUUUCAUUAUACCAAAUGGUUCCCUUAAAUUAUACCAACAUUAUUAUACCAAAUCAAAUUAUACCAAAUUGUCGUUAUACCAAAAAAAUUAUGCAAUUCGACCGCACACCAAAUUUAGCAGGCUUAAAUUUUUUGGAUAUCGCCGAAGUUCUGCCGGACAUUGAAAGUUGCGCCUGCAAAGAAUUGUGCAACCUUUUGCACGGCCACCCUCUAGCUUUACAUCAUUUCAUAUCUUUUCUCAACAUCCAAUAUCCAAGUUGUACAAAUUUUAACAGCGAUCAAAUCACACAUUGUCUCAGAAUUUAUAAGAAUAAUCCCCUGGAAAUAUUGGAGUCAUCAUUAUUUCCAAAUUUUCCAGCUUCUUGUGCAUGUUCAGUAAUUUUUAAAUUUUCUGAAGUCCUGGAUAAAAUAAAAUGGGGGAUUAAGUAUACGCGAAAAGUCUCAAAUUUGGUCUUCCUCCUGUCUCGCUCUGGUCCCGAUGGGAUUUCGAUUAAGCUCUUUCUCAAAAUGCAGACCAUGAUGGGAUUUAAGAUGGACGGCAGAAUGUUGAGGUUAAUGGAAAAAUUUAAGAACCAGUCAGUAAUCGUAGCGCAAAAUGGGAAGCUAAUAGUUCAUCCGAUAUUCGUUCUCAUACUGGAACGGGAAAUUAGGGAGCACGAUAUUUCCUUAAAAUUUGUGGAAGUGAAAAAUUACGAUGUUAUCUUUGAGCCGGACGAGGUUAAGGAGCUGGAAAGAUUAGGAUUGGCAAAUAUCGUAGGGGAUGAUAAUCAAGAUAACCAAGAAUUGUUUGUGGGUGGUGAAUACUUACGUUAUACAUUUUUCGUAACUAUUCUUCAAUACUUUGGCAUAUUUUUGUUGUUACGUCUCUGCAAAUCGUUCGUAAAUAAAUUAUUUACGCGAGGUUAAGCUGCUGCAAUAAUUACUAAGGUGCAUAUUUGUUAAUUCAAAGUCGAUAUUCAUUCAAUUAAUCCCAUUAAUUCAAUUAAUGAUAAUUACUUUAACUAUUACCGAAUACACUUAUAAUUAUUAUCCAAUGUAGAUAUUAAAUAAUUUGAAAUGUUUAUCCCAAAAACUGUACACAUUUCGCUGAAUGGUUGUAAACAUGGAAAUGCAAAUACAUACAUAUGUACGUAAUGAUAUGAAAUGUUGCCAAUAAAAAGAGGGGUUUCCUGUGUUGGCGAAUUCGCUCCAAUUGAAA